UCUGUAUAGCACAAAGUGCCAAACUGUAUGGCCCCGGGGCCGAAUGUUGUGCCUGUAUGGCUAAAAAGCCGGGAAACUGUAUGACACAUAAUGUGUCGAUAAGAUCAUAUCAUGUAGCCCAUUAGGGCGCAGUACUGCUAAACUGUAUAUGGCAUGCCAUACCCUUAUGCUAUCUAUGACUCCCACUAAGGUUUACUAGGGCCAAGAAUACAUAUUUACAUGUUAAAGAUUUAUUGGUAUCAAACUUAUUCAUUUAGAUGCAUAACCUGUUGAAACAAGCAAAUAUGUCAAUAAAAAGGAGUCCUUAGGAGCAUACAUAUGUGUGUAAUAGACCAUCUUCAUUCAUGAACACAAUAUUCAGUCAUGAACAUAUUACGAUUUCAUCAAGAACAUGUAUGCAAAUUUUUAGUCUAUUAUGCUAGCACGUGCAUAAAGCAGGCAUGUCAAGCUAGCAUGUGCAUAAUUUGGCCACAAAGCUAGCAUGUCAAUCUCUUUUAGGUCAAUAUUUACAAUUAGGUUUGUUUCUGCCUGAGAUUGUAUCACAUUUUUAAGUAUUUUUUGGAUAUAAUUAGACUCACCUUUCUUCAUGAACUUUGUGUAUUUAUGUCUUAGCUUUCUAACAAGAUAUAUUACAUCUAAUUCUGACCUUUCUAACUUAAGUUAUGAAUUUUUCUUUGCAAGCUGCUCAAUCAGGUCCUAACCAGUACAGUUUUGGUAUCUGUUUUUAAUCUAACAAAACCUAUCAUAUGNN
rnacentral:lncRNA from 1 species